GGGAUUAGUGACGACAGUAGUAAAGAGUGGUUGUGAGACCUAGUUAGUAGGAUAUUUCAUCAUCAAGAAUCGUGGGAAAUAAGGGAGGGUCGACCCAAUUAAUUGGACCAUAGUAAGUAAGAAGGGGGCUCUUGACAAGCAUCAUGUUUUCUUUUGUGUAUGUAGCCGUGUAUGUGUGUUUUGAGAGAUUAGUUGUCAGUGCUUGCUUAUGUUAGAAUACAAUGGCGAUUUAGAAGAGUAAGAGGUAGUUGAAUAGGAAAAGAAAUAACAUAAUGUAAGGCAUAAGGAU
rnacentral:lncRNA from 1 species